rnacentral:rRNA from 1 species
UACGAAGGGGGCUAGCGUUGUUCGGAAUUACUGGGCGUAAAGCGCGCGCAGGCGGCUAUCCAAGUCAGUGGUGAAAGCCCGGAGCUCAACUCCGGAAUUGCCAUUGAGACUGUUUAGCUUGAGUACGAGAGAGGUGAGUGGAAUUCCCAGUGUAGAGGUGAAAUUCGUAGAUAUUGGGAAGAACACCGGUGGCGAAGGCGGCUCACUGGCUCGUUACUGACGCUCAGGCGCGACAGCGUGGGGAUCAAACAGG